UGGGACAUUAGCUCAGGUGGUAGAGCACUUGACUUUUAAUCAAGUUGUCCGGGGUUCGAGCCCCCGAUGUCUCAU
rnacentral:tRNA from 1 species